rnacentral:lncRNA from 1 species
GGUUCUCAGUCCCACCAGUAACAAGCUUGUAUCCCUUGCUCAUCAGGUAGUUUCCAAGGGCAACUGCAUUGGCCUUGACUUGCUUAGCAUAGGCCUUGAACCCGGGAACCAUGGCCUGCUUCAAGGCAACAGCUAGGGCAGCAAUCUGGUGAUUGUGGGGGCCACCUUGGAGGGAGGGGAAAACAGCAAAAUUGACCUUGUCCUCAAAAUCAUAAACUGCAUCUUCCGGCUGGCCCUUCUUGGGUGGUUUAGGACCCUUACGGUAGAAGAUCAUACCAGCCCUUGGGCCCCUCAGGCUCUUGUGGGUUGUAGUUGUGACUAUGUCACAAUACUCAAAGGGGUUUGCGGCUUCCUACACCCAAAUAGUAAAUUAGACUAACACUAUCCAGAUCAAGAUUGAGUAAAUGGAAGCAGUGGUAUUCUGAUCCAGUCCUGCACUUUUGCAUAUCAAUGAUAAUAUCACAAAGAAACCCAAUAUUAAUGCUCCUUUUUAUUUCCCCAUGCUUCAAAUUUGAGAUUGAAACCAAGAAAUGCCUUUUAGACUCGAAAACCAAAAAAAUAAAAAGCCUCAAUUACAAUGAAUGGAGAUGAAACAAUUACCAUAAUUAUUUAUAAAAUGAUAAAAGCAGGCUCAUAAAGACUUAUAUUCCAUUCCCUCUUCUCUUCCCUACAGAUCUCAAUUGCCCACAUGACCAGAACCAGAACAGGACACUGCUCUGGCCACCAAAUUCAUCAACCAAAAAAAAAGGGAUCUACCUAUCAAUUCGUUCAAAAGGAUCUAUAUAUUAAACAUGCACAAGAUAAUAAAAUAGUUAAAUGAUCUCCACAUCACACCAAAUGCUUAAAACCCAAUGCAAAUCUCCACAACCAUUGCAACAAAAAACAGUCGUAGCGUCAGAAACAAGGAACAAAAGAAAAAGAAAAAGAAAAAAAGAAAAAGAUCAUGGAAAUUAAUAAUAGAUCCAAAAACUUAAAAAUUAGGCUGAAUUAUAAGAACUUCAGAUCCAACAAUUGAAUAUAUAAAAAUGAAAUAUUGAAUAUAAACAAGGAUGACAAGAAACAAGAGGAACGGACCUGAGCAGCAACAAGGCCACUAAUGUGGGCCAUGUCACAAAGCAACAAAGCGCCACACUUAUCGGCAAUAGAGCGGAACCUGGCGUAAUCCCAGUCCCUGGGGUAGGCGCUGCCACCGCAAAUGAUUAACUUAGGCCUGAAAUCCAAGGCCUUCUCCUCCAAGCGAUCGUAAUCAAUGUAGCCAGUGGUGGAGCUGACCUUAUAAGGCAAACUCUCAAAGUAAAUGGAAGUGGCCGAGAUCUUCUUUCCGCUGGAGGUGUAGUAGCCGUGGGUGAGGUGGCCACCGGAAGGGAGGUCCAAACCCAUGAUGCGGUCGUGGGGGUUGAGAAUGGCGGUGUAGGCGGCGAAAUUGGCGGGGGAGCCGGAGUAGGGCUGAACAUUGACGCCCCACUUGGAGGGGUCGCAGUGGAAGGCCUGCAGGGCACGUGACCUGCAGAGGUUCUCGAUCUCGUCGAUGAACUCAUUUCCACCAUAGUAGCGGUUGCCAGGCAUGCCCUCGGAGUACUUGUUGGUGAGGGCGCUGCCCAG